GUUGCUCCUGUUGCAGUUUAUGCACUGAUAGAGCAAGGCGUCGGGGCGUCCAUUUGUGAGCCUCCAGUUGAAAUGACUUUUAAGCAGCUUCUUGCUCUUGAUCCAUUAGAUAAUUUGGGCAAGCCUUUCAUUUGUAAGGUCACCAUCAUGCGUCUGGGCUCUGAUCAGCGUUGGUGGUUCCUCUCGUGCGUUGCCUGCCAUAAGACUGCGUAGGUUAAUGGGCCUAGGUUCCGUUGCUCAGACCAAGGUUGCUCUUCCGUUGGGGCAGAGCCGGCAUAUUCUAUCUGCACAUUUGCAACUGAUGGAUCAGCUGAGGCUGAAUCCAAUGUUCUUUGAGAGAGCUGGCAGAGCAGCAAUAGGCAAACCACUUCUAACCUUGCUGCGGCAAAAGUAUCCAGGGUAUUCACUAUUCAGAGGUUCGCGACCUUGCGCAGAUAGUAGGAGCUGAUGUAACCCUCCCAGUGGAAGUUACCAGAAUGGCACAAAGACGUAGCGCCUGGUGGUGGCCAUUUCCAACAAAAUUUUCAAGCCUACAAGCAACCAGCUAUCUUUCCAAGUUAAUCGGAUUGACCAGACCUUUCAGCCUGAGCUUGGGCCGUUAGAAUUUGGUCCUGCUUCCCCAGCUUCUCGCCCUUCUUCUGGUACAGGCUCAGUUGGUGUACUCUCUGGUUUCUCACUGAUGUCGCCAGUUGGACCAUUCACACUUUCAUCAAAAGAUGCACACGGCCCAGGAAGCUCUUUUAAAAGGUUGUUCUGUAUAUCGACGGUCGCUACUUUGGCGCAGGCCCCUAAAGCCUAUGCCAACAAGGACAAGCCAAGACUAAUUCACUGCAGUUGUCUUCGUGUGCCUGUCUUUGCACCCUUCUGGACACGCUCCUACUACGUUUGUUGCGUGUUUGCAAACCCAGUCUUUGGCGCUCAAAUAGCCAUGUCAAAGCUCUGGUGAUAUUCCCUAUUUAAGAUCUGAACCAGGCCACUUUCAAGCAUUGUAAAUAUCGCCGUUCGAACUCUCUGCUCUCCCCUGCCUCUCCUGAUGAUAUUUCUGUACUUGUUGGGCUGCGCUAGCGAAUCUAUCUAUAAUUAUCAGUGCAAUGCUAUGCCUGUGUAUUCCCUAUGUUCAACCUUUUUAUUUGGUCAUAAGGUUUGCUCUCC